rnacentral:rRNA from 1 species
AACGAACGCUGGCGGCAUGCCUAACACAUGCAAGUCGAACGAGACCUUCGGGUCUAGUGGCGCACGGGUGCGUAACGCGUGGGAACCUGCCCUUAGGUUCGGAAUAACUCCCCGAAAGGGGUGCUAAUACCGGAUAAUGUCUUCGGACCAAAGAUUUAUCGCCUUUGGAUGGGCCCGCGUUGGAUUAGCUAGUUGGUAGGGUAAAAGCCUACCAAGGCGACGAUCCAUAGCUGGUCUGAGAGGAUGAUCAGCCACACUGGGACUGAGACACGGCCCAGACUCCUACGGGAGGCAGCAGUGGGGAAUAUUGGACAAUGGGCGAAAGCCUGAUCCAGCAAGGCCGCGUGAGUGAUGAAGGCCUUAGGGUUGUAAAGCUCUUUUACCCGGGAUGAUAAUGACAGUACCGGGAGAAUAAGCUCCGGCUAACUCCGG